GACGAACGCUGGCGGCGUGCUUAACACAUGCAAGUCGAACGAAGUGGCGAACGGGUGAGUAACGCGUAAUCAACCUGCCCUUCAGAGGGGGACAACAGUUGGACACGACUGCUAAUACCGCAUCCUGCAGGAGGGGCUUGCGUCUGAUUAGCUAGUUGGAGGGGUAACGGCCCACCAAGGCGAUGAUCAGUAGCCGGGCUGGGAGGAUGAACGGCCACAUGGGGACUGAGACACGGCCCAGACUCCUACGGGAGGCAGCAGUGGGGAAUCUUCCGCAAUGGACGAAAGUCUGACGGAGCAACGCCGCGGGAGUGAUGACGGCCUUCGGGUUGUAAAGCUCUGUUAAUCGGGACGCGGUACCGGAAUAGAAAGCCACGGCUAACUACGUGCCAGCAGCCGCGGUAAUAC
rnacentral:rRNA from 1 species